GUAAUGUCUGGGAAACUGCCUGAUGGAGGGGGAUAACUACUGGAAACGGUGGCUAAUACCGCAUAACGUCGCAAGACCAAAGAGGGGGACCUUCGGGCCUCUUGCCAUCAGAUGUGCCCAGAUGGGAUUAGCUUGUUGGUGAGGUAACGGCUCACCAAGGCGACGAUCCCUAGCUGGUCUGAGAGGAUGACCAGCCACACUGGAACUGAGACACGGUCCAGACUCCUACGGGAGGCAGCAGUGGGGAAUAUUGCACAAUGGGCGCAAGCCUGAUGCAGCCAUGCCGCGUGUAUGAAGAAGGCCUUCGGGUUGUAAAGUACUUUCAGCGGGGAGGAAGGUGUUGUGGUUAAUAACCGCAGCAAUUGACGUUACCCGCAGAAGAAGCACCGGCUAACUCCGUGCCAGCAGCCGCGGUAAUACGGAGGGUGCAAGCGUUAAUCGGAAUUACUGGGCGUAAAGCGCACGCAGGCGGUCUGUCAAGUCGGAUGUGAAAUCCCCGGGCUCAACCUGGGAACUGCAUUCGAAACUGGCAGGC
rnacentral:rRNA from 1 species